CAAAUGUCUCAGGCCUGAAAUCUAGUGUGAGCUCAGGUCCUGAUGAUACAACCUCAGCAUCUGCACAGGGCUCAUGGAAAGAUCGUGGUAUGCAUUUCCUGAGAGAGGAUUCAGAGUUGGUCCUCAGCAUCCUGCUGCCUGACCCAGGAGUCCUCUACCUCCUCUAGCAGGACUAGGUACUUAUAUAAGAAGUACCCUACUCAUGAAUAUGCAAAUUCUUUGAGUUUAUGGUGGUAAAUACAGGAAUGUCCACACCCCAGAACAACAUAUGAUUAGCGUCCUCUCUAUAGUUACAGGAAACACAGGUCCUCACCAUGGGAUGUAGCUGGAUCAUCCUCUUCCUCCUGUCAGUAAUUACAGGUGUCCACUCCCAGGUCCAGCUGCAGCAGUCUGGGCCUGAACUGGUGAUGCCUGGAGCCUCAAUGAAGUUGUCCUGUAAGGCUUCUGGCUAUACCUUCACUAGCUAUGGUAUGAACUGGGUGAAGCAGAGGCCUGGACAGAGCCUGGAGUGGAUUGGAUGGAUUGGUACUUCAAGUGGUAAUACUGAGUACAAUCAGAAGUUCCAGGGCAAGGCCAAGCUGACUAUCGACAAGUCCUCCAGCACAGCCUACAUGGAUCUCAGCAGCCUGACAUCUGAGGACUCUGCGGUCUAUUACUGUGCAAGAAACACAGUGUUGCAACCACAUCCUGAGUGUGUCAGAAACCCUGAAGAACAGGAAGCUGCCCUGGAGCUGAGAUGACAGACAAGAUUAGACUGGAGACUUAUUCAAAAAUAAUCAUCCUGAGUGUCCCUUUGUCUGUGAUUUCACUGUCUUACAGGGUCUUUGUCAACUUUUCAAAAGGAAAAAUAGAGGGAAUAAAAUGAUGUUGAUUCAUGA